UACGUAGGGUGCGAGCGUUAAUCGGAAUUACUGGGCGUAAAGGGUGCGCAGGCGGAUAUGUAAGUUAGAUGUGAAAUCCCCGAGCUUAACUUGGGAAUGGCAUUUAAGACUGCAUGUCUAGAGUUUGUCAGAGGGGGGUAGAAUUCCAAGUGUAGCAGUGAAAUGCGUAGAGAUUUGGAGGAAUACCAGUGGCGAAGGCGACCCCUGGGAUAGAACUGACGCUCAGGCACGAAAGCGUGGGUAGCAAACAGGAUUAGAAA
rnacentral:rRNA from 1 species